rnacentral:lncRNA from 1 species
AUUUCAUCUAUACAAGUGGCACCAUAUCCACAAGGGGAGGAUUGGCAUUCAUCAAUAUUAAUUCUGCAGUCAGGACCUGCAAAUCCAGGAGCACAUUCACAUCGAAACCAAUUCACACCAUCAACACAGAUGCCUCCGUUGUAACAUGGAUGAGGGUUGCAGUCAUUGGUAUUCUGUGUGCACGUACGUCCUUCCCAUCCUUCUUUGCAGAUGCAAGAAAAGGAGUCUCCACUGCCAACACAUGUUCCACCAUUCAUGCAAGGGUUUGGUAUACAGCUGCUGUUUUUAGCAAUGUUGCAAGUACUUCCAAUCCAUUCUGGAGGACACGAACAGCGGAAUGUAUCUCCAUCAUCGUAACAUGUUCCACCAUUGCUACAAGUAUUUGCAUCACACUGGUAUUCACGUGAAUGGCAAGUUUUUCCUUUCCAGUCAUUCUUACAUUCACAAUAGAAGUCAUUUACCAAAUCAAUGCAUCGGCCACCAUUAUGACAUGGAUUAGGAGAACAGUCAUUGAAAUUUGUGUCACACAAUUCUCCUUCCCA